rnacentral:rRNA from 1 species
GAAUNAUUGGACAAUGGACGCAAGUCUGAUCCAGCCAUCCCGCGUGAAGGAUUAAAGGUCCCUAUGGAUUGUAAACCUUCUUUUCUCUGGGAAUAAAAAGUGGGGUUCACCCUGCCUUGAAGGUACCAGAGGAAUAAGCACCGGCUAACUCCGUGCCAGCAGCCGCGGUAAUACGGAGGGUGCAAGCGUUAUCCGGAUUCACUGGGUUUAAAGGGUGCGUAGGUGGCUUUGUAAGUCAGUGGUGAAAGCCUGGAGCUCAACUCCAGAACUGCCAUUGAUACUGCUUAGCUUGAAUUAGAUGGAGGUGGAUGGAAUAUUACAUGUAGCGGUGAAAUGCUUAGAUAUGUAAUAGAACACCGAUUGCGAAGGCAGUUCACUACGUCUAUAUUGACACUGAGGCACGAAAGCGUGGGGAUCAAACAGGAUUAGAUACCCUGGUAGUC